AGAAUGACUCUCAGCAACGGAUAUCUUGGCUCUUGCAACGAUGAAGAACGCAACAAAAUGCGAUACCUAGUGUGAAUUGCAGUAUUCCGCGAUCAUUGAGUCUUUUAACGCAAUAGCGCCCGAGGCUUUUCCGGGGACAUGCCUUCCUGA
rnacentral:rRNA from 1 species